GAAUAACACGAGGAAACUUGUGCUAAUACCUCAUAAGUCUUUACGGAGAAAGCUUUAUGCGCCAUAGGAUGAGCCUGCAUUUGAUUAGUUUGUUGGUGGGGUAAUGGCCUACCAAGACUUUGAUCAAUAGCUGAUCUGAGAGGAUGAUCAGCCACAUUGGGACUGAGACACGGCCCAAACUCCUACGGGAGGCAGCAGUAGGGAAUAUUGCACAAUGGAGGAAACUCUGAUGCAGCGAUGCCGCGUGAGUGAAGAAGGCCUUUGGGUUGUAAAGCUCUUUCGUCGGGGAAGAAAAUGACUGUACCCGAAUAAGAAGGUCCGGCUAACUUCGUGCCAGCAGCCGCGGUAAUACGAAGGGACCUAGCGUAGUUCGGAAUUACUGGGCUUAAAGAGUUCGUAGGUUGUUAAAAAAGUUGGUGGUGAAAUCCCAGAGCUUAACUCUGGAACUGCCAUCAAAACUUUUUAGCUAGAGUAUGAUAGAGGAAAGCAGAAUUUCUAGUGUAGAGGUGAAAUUCGUAGAUAUUAGAAAGAAUACCAAUUGCGAAGGCAGCUUUCUGGAUCAUUACUGACACUGAGGAACGAAAGCAUGGGUAGCGAAGAGGAUUAGAUACCCUCGUAGUCCAUGCCGUAAACGAUGUGUGUUAGACGUUGGGAAUUUAUUUUCAGUGUCGCAGCGAAAGCAUUAAACACACCGCCUGGGGAGUACGACCGCAAGGUUAAAACUCAAAUGAAUUGACGGGGACCCGCACAAGUAGUGGAGCAUGUGGUUUAAUUCGAAGAUACGCGCAGAACCUUACCAACACUUGACAUGUUCGUCGCGACUUUAAGAGAUUAAAGUUUUCGGUUCGGCCGGACGAAACACAGGUGCUGCAUGGCUGUCGUCAGCUCGUGUCGUGAGAUGUUGGGUUAAGUCCCGCAACGAGCGCAACCCUCACUUUUAGUUGCCAUCAUUUAGUUGGGCACUCUGAAAGAACUGCCAGUGAUAAGCUGGAGGAAGGUGGGGAUGACGUCAAGUCCUCAUGGCCCUUACGUGUUGGGCUACACACGUGCUACAAUGGCAUUUACAAUAGGAAGCAAGAUGGCGACGUCAAGCAAAUCCUAAAAAGAUGCCUCAGUUCGG
rnacentral:rRNA from 1 species